ACCCCGGAAGGGGAGUGAAAGAGAACUUGAAACCGUGUGCUUACAAGUAGUCAGAGCCCGUUAAUGGGUGAUGGCGUGCCUUUUGUAGAAUGAACCGGCGAGUUACGAUCUGAUGCAAGGUUAAGCAGCAAAUGUGGAGCCGCAGCGAAAGCGAGUCUGAAUAGGGCGUUGAGUAUUUGGUCGUAGACCCGAAACCAGGUGAUCUACCCUUGGUCAGGUUGAAGUUCAGGUAACACUGAAUGGAGGACCGAACCGACUUACGUUGAAAAGUGAGCGGAUGAACUGAGGGUAGCGGAGAAAUUCCAAUCGAACUUGGAGAUAGCUGGUUCUCUCCGAAAUAGCUUUAGGGCUAGCCUCAAGUGAUGAUUAUUGGAGGUAGAGCACUGUUUGGACGAGGGGCCCCUCUCGGGUUACCGAAUUCAGACAAACUCCGAAUGCCAAUUAAUUUAACUUGGGAGUCAGAACAUGGGUGAUAAGGUCCGUGUUCGAAAGGGAAACAGCCCAGACCACCAGCUAAGGUCCCAAAAUAUAUGUUAAGUGGAAAAGGAUGUGGCGUUGCCCAGACAACUAGGAUGUUGGCUUAGAAGCAGCCAUCAUUUAAAGAGUGCGUAAUAGCUCACUAGUCGAGUGACACUGCGCCGAAAAUGUACCGGGGCUAAACAUAUUACCGAAGCUGUGGAUUGUCCUUUGGACAAUGGUAGGAGAGCGUUCUAAGGGCGUCGAAGCAUGAUCGCAAGGACAUGUGGAGCGCUUAGAAGUGAGAAUGCCGGUGUGAGUAGCGAAAGACGGGUGAGAAUCCCGUCCACCGAUUGACUAAGGUUUCCAGAGGAAGGCUCGUCCGCUCUGGGUUAGUCGGGUCCUAAGCUGAGGCCGACAGGCGUAGGCGAUGGAUAACAGGUUGAUAUUCCUGUACCACCUAGUAUCGUUUUAAUCGAUGGGGGGACGCAGUAGGAUAGGCGAAGCGUGCUGUUGGAGUGCACGUCCAAGCAGUAAGGCUGAGUGUUAGGCAAAUCCGGCACUCAUAAGGCUGAGCUGUGAUGGGGAGAGGAAAUUGUUUCCUCGAGUCGUUGAUUUCACACUGCCGAGAAAAGCCUCUAGAUAGAUAACAGGUGCCCGUACCGCAAACCGACACAGGUAGUCAAGAUGAGAAUUCUAAGGUGAGCGAGCGAACUCUCGUUAAGGAACUCGGCAAAAUGACCCCGUAACUUCGGGAGAAGGGGUGCUCUUUAGGGUUCACGCCCAGAAGAGCCGCAGUGAAUAGGCCCAAGCGACUGUUUAUCAAAAACACAGGUCUCUGCUAAACCGUAAGGUGAUGUAUAGGGGCUGACGCCUGCCCGGUGCUGGAAGGUUAAGAGGAGUGGUUAGCUUCUGCGAAGCUACGAAUCGAAGCCCCAGUAAACGGCGGCCGUAACUAUAACGGUCCUAAGGUAGCGAAAUUCCUUGUCGGGUAAGUUCCGACCCGCACGAAAGGCGUAACGAUUUGGGCACUGUCUCAACGAGAGACUCGGUGAAAUCAUAGUACCUGUGAAGAUGCAGGUUACCCGCGACAGGACGGAAAGACCCCGUGGAGCUUUACUGUAGCCUGAUAUUGAAAUUCGGCACAGCUUGUACAGGAUAGGUAGGAGCCUUUGAAACGUGAGCGCUAGCUUACGUGGAGGCGUUGGUGGGAUACUACCCUAGCUGUGUUGGCUUUCUAACCCGCACCACUUAUCGUGGUGGGAGACAGUGUCAGGCGGGCAGUUUGACUGGGGCGGUCGCCUCCUAAAAGGUAACGGAGGCGCUCAAAGGUUCCCUCAGAAUGGUUGGAAAUCAUUCAUAGAGUGUAAAGGCAUAAGGGAGCUUGACUGCGAGACCUACAAGUCGAGCAGGGUCGAAAGACGGACUUAGUGAUCCGGUGGUUCCGCAUGGAAGGGCCAUCGCUCAACGGAUAAAAGCUACCCCGGGGAUAACAGGCUUAUCUCCCCCAAGAGUUCACAUCGACGGGGAGGUUUGGCACCUCGAUGUCGGCUCAUCGCAUCCUGGGGCUGUAGUCGGUCCCAAGGGUUGGGCUGUUCGCCCAUUAAAGCGGUACGCGAGCUGGGUUCAGAACGUCGUGAGACAGUUCGGUCCCUAUCCGUCGUGGGCGUAGGAAAUUUGAGAGGAGCUGUCCUUAGUACGAGAGGACCGGGAUGGACAUACCUCUGGUGUACCAGUUGUCGUGCCAACGGCAUAGCUGGGUAGCUAUGUAUGGACGGGAUAAGUGCUGAAAGCAUCUAAGCAUGAAGCCCCCCUCAAGAUGAGAUUUCCCAACUUCGGUUAUAAGAUCCCUCGAAGAUGACGAGGUUAAUAGGUUCGAGGUGGAAGCGUGGUGACACGUGGAGCUGACGAAUACUAAUCGAUCGAAGACUUAAUCAA
rnacentral:rRNA from 1 species